rnacentral:rRNA from 1 species
UACGUAGGCAGCGAGCGUUGUUCGGAGUUACUGGGCGUAAAGGGUGUGUAGGCGGUUGCUUAAGUUUGGUGUGAAAUCUCCCGGCUCAACCGGGAGGGUGCGCCGAAUACUGAGUGACUAGAGUGCGGGAGAGGGAAGUGGAAUUCCUGGUGUAGCGGUGAAAUGCGUAGAUAUCAGGAGGAACACCGGUGGUGUAGACGGCUUUCUGGACCGUAACUGACGCUGAGACACGAAAGCGUGGGUAGCAAACAGG